GCUGGGGACAGGAAUUCGCAGAGAUCGGCUGCUCUCAGAUCCCAAAUCCUAAACAGGAGGGGGCGUGCAUUACUGAGCAGUCCUGAGCGCAUCACAGAGCAGGCGAGCGGCCUGCAGGAGGGAAAGGCUGCUCCGUGAUGCCUGCUUGGGAAGCAUCCUUAGGAAUAUGUAGGCCGAUGUCAAAGCCUGCUGCUGGUCCAGUACCUAGGGAUCUGCUGCAUAAAUUAUGAUACAUUAGUUGACACUGCCCCAGCAGCCUGGAGGAAAGAGGUCAAGAUUAAAGGACUUUGCCGGACCCAGAGGCCUAUCGCAACCUCUAGAGGCUGAAGCAGGAGCGUCGCUGCAAGUGCAAAGCCAACCAGGAAAAAUAAAUACAUAAAGGACUUUAAUAAGAAUUAUUCCUUUUCCAACUUUCCAACCAGGUUUUUUGGACCUAGCUGACACCUUUCCAGUAUAAGGACAGCACCAGCAGUACUGGAGUCAGCCCCCUGGCCUCACCCUGCAUACCUCCCAAUGAGUGGACAUCUCCCACCUGAGGUCCCAAAGCUCCUUCCUCCCUAGGAGGGAAGCAAGCUGGGGGCAGGGAAAGGGGUUGAUUGAGCUUUGGACAGGUUCUUCAGGUCCUUCAACUCUGUGAGCUCUGGUGUCCUGUCUGUAUGAUGGACAUCAUAACUGUGCCUUCUUAGGAGUAUGGGAAAUGCCUGGCCCACAAGCUGGCACCAGGUAUCUGUUUGAUAAGUUAAUUAGCUAACUAGUCAGCUGGUCAAUGAAUACUAUAAAUAGGUUAAAUCUCAAAGUUACAGACCUAUAAAACUGGAAACACCUUAGAGAUCCUACCCAGCCUGUUCACAUGGAUAUUUACAUUCCUCCUGGACCUGUAUAUCACAACAGAUGGUUAGGAAUGUGUAUCGUUUGGCCAAACUGCUUGGUUCAAACUCUUAUUCUAAUACUAACUGGAUGUAUGACCCUGGGCCGGUUACUCAGUCUCUCUUUGCCUCUGUUUUCUUAUCGGUAAAAUGGGGAUAAUGGUUUCUGUUUUGUAGGUUGCUGGAAAGAAUAACAUCAUGCCUGAGAAAACACUUAAGGCAGCACGCAGGAAGAGCUUAGUAAAUUAGCUAUUAUACCAGGUACCGCCAGGGUUGUGUCAGACAGAUUGCCUUGCUAAGGAAAUAAUGGUUUCCAAACUUGAUUCUAAAUAAAAACUUAAUGUAGGUGCCAGAUCAUUCAUUCAUGUAUUUACUCAACAAAUAAAUGUUGAGUGUUUUGUUCUGGCCUAGGUCCAUCUAGGUGUUGGAGAAGAGACAAAAUUUAAGCAUCUGUGAUUUGCAACAACUGACGUGCUACUGCAGGGAAGCAAAAUGCGUUAAGAGAUGACUGAAAGUCAAUCACACUAAGAAGCUAGGUGUGGUGGUACAUGUGGUAAUCCCAGCAUUCAGGAGGCUGAGGCAGAAAGACCACUGCAAGUUGAAGUCCAUCCUGGGCCACAUAAUGAGUUCAAGGUCAGCCUGAACUGCAUGGUGAGACCUUGUCUCAAAAAAAAAAAAAAAAGUAGUGAUAGGAAAAAAACAGAUAGGUACAGCAGGAGAAAUGGGUUGCCAAGAGAUACAAGAAGCACUGUUCAGUAAGGAGAAGUUUGAGCAAAAGUUCUGAAACCAUGUAGAUACCAAGAGGGAAGAGUGAUUCAGGCAGCGGGCACAGCCACUAUGAUGGCUGAGGUGGAAAUAUGCUUCAUAUGGCCAAGCCUCAACAAAGCCAGCGUGACUAAAGGAGGUGAGCAAGGGGGAGGGUGGAAGAUGAGCUCACAGAGGCAGUGGAGGAGGAUGAAAAGCGGCUGGAUUAUGUGGAAAUGUUAUAGAGAUGGAACUGACAGCAUUUGCUGCUGAGUGUAAUGCCUGCAAGGUUUGGGGCCUAAUAAAGUGGAAGGCUGAGGUUGCUAUUUA